rnacentral:rRNA from 1 species
CUAAGACUGGAUAGGAGACAAGAAGGCAUCUUCUUGUUUUUAAAAGACCUAGCAAUAGGUAUGCUUAGGUAGGAGCUUGCGUCACAUUAGUUAGUUGGUGGGGUAAAGGCCUACCAAGACUAUGAUGUGUAGCCGGGCUGAGAGGUUGAACGGCCACAUUGGGACUGAGACACGGCCCAAACUCCUACGGGAGGCAGCAGUAGGGAAUUUUCGGCAAUGGAGGAAACUCUGACCGAGCAACGCCGCGUGAACGAUGAAGUAUUUCGGUACGUAAAGUUCCUUUAUUAGGGAAGAAUAAAUGAUGGAAAAAUCAUUCUGACGGUACCUAAUGAAUAAGCCCCGGCUAACUAUGUGCCAGCAGCCGCGGUAAUACAUAGGGGGCAAGCGUUAUCCGGAAUUAUUGGGCGUAAAGGGUGCGUAGGCGGUUAAAUAAGUUUGUGGUCUAAGUGCAAUGCUCAACAUUGUGAUGCUAUAAAAACUGUUUAGCUAGAGUAAGAUAGAGGCAAGUGGAAUUCCAUGUGUAGUGGUAAAAUGCGUAAAUAUAUGGAGGAACACCAGUAGCGAAGGCGGCUUGCUGGGUCUUUACUGACGCUGAGGCACGAAAGCGUGGGGAGCAAACAGGAUUAGAUACCCUGGUAGUCCACGCCGUAAACGAUGAGUACUAAACGUUGGGUAAAACCAGUGUUGAAGUUAACACAUUAAGUACUCCGCCUGAGUAGUACGUACGCAAGUAUGAAACUUAAAGGAAUUGACGGGACUCCGCACAAGCGGUGGAUCAUGUUGUUUAAUUCGAAGGUACCCGAAAAACCUCACCAGGUCUUGACAUGCUUCUGCAAAGCUGUAGAAACACAGUGGAGGUUAUCAGUUGCACAGGUGGCGCAUGGUUGUCGUCAGCUCGUGUCGUGAGAUGUUGGGUUAAGUCCCGCAACGAGCGCAACCCUUAUUGUUAGUUACCAGCACGUAAUGGUGGGGACUUUAGCAAGACUGCCGGUGAUAAAUUGGAGGAAGGUGGGGACGACGUCAAAUCAUCAUGCCCCUUAUGACCUGGGCUACAAACGUGAUACAAUGGCUGUUACAAAGGGUAGCUGAAGCGCAAGUUUUUGGCGAAUCUCAAAAAAACAGUCUCAGUUCGGAUUGAAGUCUGCAACUCGACUUCAUGAAGUUGGAAUCGCUAGUAAUCGCGAAUCAGCAUGUCGCGGUGAAUACGUUCUCGGGGUUUGUACACACCGCCCGUCA